UACGAAGGGGGCUAGCGUUGCUCGGAAUCAUUGGGCGUAAAGCGCACGUAGGCGGUUCGUUAUGUCGGAUGUGAAAGCCCUUGGCUUAACCGAGGAAGUGCAUCCGAAACUGGCGAGCUAGAGUACGAAAGAGGAUCGCGGAAUUCCCGGUGUAGAGGUGAAAUUCGUAGAUAUCGGGAGGAACACCGGUGGCGAAGGCGGGCGAUCUGGGUCGAUACUGACGCUGAGGUGCGAAAGCGUGGGGAGCAAACAGG
rnacentral:rRNA from 1 species